rnacentral:lncRNA from 1 species
AAGUAAUUCAAGAUUUGAUUUUAAAUUCUGUCAAGGAAAUAAGAGUGAAGGAUAGAACAGAGAAGACUCCUUUGAGUGACAGCAGUAUUUCAGGGAGACCUACAGGAUGGGGUUGAACCAGCCAUGUGAAAAGCUGAAGGAAGCUCAUCAGGGACAGAAAGUUACAAAAUGUCCAGAGAUGAGAAAGUGUACAAGAUAGUUGAGUAUAGGGAGUAAACAUAGUUGAGAAAAGUAUAGUAAAGUAAUAGGUGAGAGGGAAGAAUGGUGGUGAAACAGUAUGGAGACACAGAGCAGGCUGUGAGUCUGAAUUUUAUUCUAAGUGCAAAAAUAAGUAAGGGGGAUAUCAGUAGAGAUGUGACUUUUUUUUUAAAAAAAGAUCAUAC